UUGUUGUUAUUGCCAUCUGUCAGGGCCGGUUGCCUGUUAAGUGGACGGCUUAUGAAGCUUUGUUAUAUUGAACAUACACAACACAAGGUGACGUUUGGAGCUAUGGUGUCCUAGUGUACGAGAUUCUAACCAUAGGUGGAUUUCCAUAUCCAGGAGUAAACGCUCGACAAAUUGCCAGGAAACUUUAGGAAGGAUUCAGAAUGCCAAAGCCUAAACAUGUGGAUAACAAACUUUACUAGAUUAUGCUGCAGUGUUGGGAACAGACCCCUACUGAUCGACCAACGUUUGCCAAACUAAAAGAAACUAUGAAAGAAAUGGAGAGAAACCAC